AAAAGAAUGGGUAGAGCAAAGUGUGGCCCACCAUUGAGUGGUGGUGAAAAGCAGAGACGCUACCAAGCCAAGCGUGAUGCUGAUGUACAAAGGAGACAACAGUACUUACUCAAAGAUAGGCAGAAAUGGAAAAAGUUGUAGAAACAGGGAAGAAGUUGCUUCAAAAAGACCGUAGUGAGAGAGAACAGCGAGCCCAACAAAACUCCGUCCUCAAAAAGGCCCAGCAGAGGAUGUACUUCCUGCGGCUUCUGAGAAAGCACGGCCUGCCACCGGAGCUGCUGAGACAGUUCUACACAGCGGUCAUCGAAUCAGUCCUGUGUUCUUCCAUCACAGUCUGGUUUGGCUGCUGCUACAAAAAAGGACAAACUCCGAUUGCAACGGACAAUCAAAACUGCUGAAAGGAUUGUCGGUACCCCCCUACCCACCAUUGAAGACUUGCACGCUGCCAGAACUAAGACAAGGGCGUUCAAAAUCCUCUCGGACCGUCUGCACCCCGGUCACCAGCUCUUCCAGCUCCUUCCCUCAGGAAAAGUGAUGCUGGGAGAAAGAAGAAAAUGGGCUGCCCCCCAAAAAAAAAAUCAAAAAUCAAAACGGAAGCAAGAGGAACUAGAAGAAAAGUUGAGAAGAGUAGAAAAGAAAACAGAAAAAUACAGGAAACUAUAAUUGAAAAUGGCUCGUCCAUCUCCAAGAGCCAAAGUCAACAAAAUACUCAGGGAAGCUUCACACACAUCCCUAAGAAGAUCCCUGUUGUUCCAUACGGCAGUAGCUGAGGAAAUGCGUACAAAGUACAAAGAAAUCUAAGCGAGAUUGCAACAGUAAUCAUCUGUAUGAGGGUCACAUCUCCCCAGGGAUCAUCCAAAAGGUGAAUGAGACCCAGUGCCAGGUAAAAUGCAUGCACAGAGUGGGGGAAAACCGCUUUUUCUGGCCAUUGAGGGAGGAUGUCCUUUGGUAUCCCUUAGGAUAUGCUGACCAUCAUUCCACUGCCACAAAAUGUUACCUCACACCACCUGGCCAUCGCAGAAGACCAGUGGAACACUCUGGUCAGCCAGGAAAAGUGAAGUGGAAUAUUAGAAGACCGAUGUUCUAAAGCAGAUGACAAGUUUUCAGUUAAAUGUGAGAGUGAAAUGUUUUUAGCUCAGUGUUAGAGUGAAUAUGUUGAUAGGCUAGGGCAGCCAGCCAUCAAAGCAAGUUUAAAAGCAAUGUUCUGAACCAAAGGGCAAGUUUUAGCAAAUUUUCUUUAAUUAUUAUUAUUUCUUCUAUUUCGGGGUUAUUUGAGGAAAAGUGUAACA